rnacentral:rRNA from 1 species
GAUGAACGCUGGCGGCGUGCCUAAUACAUGCAAGUCGAGCGAACAGAUGAGAAGCUUGCUUCUCUGAUGUUAGCGGCGGACGGGUGAGUAACACGUGGGUAACCUACCUAUAAGACUGGGAUAACUCCGGGAAACCGGGGCUAAUACCGGAUAAUAUUUUGAACCGCAUGGUUCAAUAGUGAAAGACGGUUUCGGCUGUCACUUAUAGAUGGACCCGGGCCGUAUUAGCUAGUUGGUAAGGUAAUGGCUUACGAAGGCGACGAUACGUAGCCGACCUGAGAGGGUGAUCGGCCACACUGGAACUGAGACACGGUCCAGACUCCUACGGGAGGCAGCAGUAGGGAAUCUUCCGCAAUGGGCGAAAGCCUGACGGAGCAACGCCGCGUGAGUGAUGAAGGUCUUCGGAUCGUAAAACUCUGUUGUUAGGGAAGAACAAAUUUGUUAGUAACUGAACAAGUCUUGACGGUACCUAACCAGAAAGCCACGGCUAACUACGUGCCAGCCGCCGCAGUAA